GACGAACGCUGGCGGCGUGCUUAACACAUGCAAGUCGAACGGAAAGGCCCUGCUUUUGUGGGGUGCUCGAUUGGCGAACGGGUGAGUAACACGUGAGUAACCUGCCCUUGACUUUGGGAUAACUUCAGGAAACUGGGGCUAAUACCGGAUAGGAGCUCCUGCUGCAUGGUGGGGGUUGGAAAGUUUCGGCGGUUGGGGAUGGACUCGCGGCUUAUCAGCUUGUUGGUGGGGUAGUGGCUUACCAAGGCUUUGACGGGUAGCCGGCCUGAGAGGGUGACCGGCCACAUUGGGACUGAGAUACGGCCCAGACUCCUACGGGAGGCAGCAGUGGGGAAUAUUGCACAAUAGGCGGAAGCCUGAUGCAGCAACGCCGCGUGCGGGAUGACGGCCUUCGGGUUGUAAACCGCUUUCGCCUGUGACGAAGCGUGAGUGACGGUAAUGGGUAAAGAAGCACCGGCUAACUACGUG
rnacentral:rRNA from 1 species